UGGCACUAGAGAAAUUAUUGACAGCAUCAACCAGAGGAUCAGCAAAGACGGCAGCAAUGACAGUACCCAGCAAAAGCAGUAGAACAGCCUUAAUUGCAGUUGAUCUAGGAUUCUCAACAGUCUCAACACUUUCGUCACUUUGAUCCCCUAAGAAAUGGUGUUCUCUCCUGAAGCUGGUCCUGAUACAAUGAAGUACCUCGAUGACUUGCAUGAGCAAACAAGGAG
rnacentral:misc_RNA from 1 species